UACAGAGGGUGCUAGCGUUGUUCGGAAUCAUUGGGCGUAAAGGGCGUGUAGGCGGUUUGUUAAGUCAUGUGUGAAAUCCCUCGGCUCAACCGGGGAACGACGCAUGAAACUGGCAAGCUAGAGUACCAAAGAGGGGGGUGGAAUUCCCGGUGUAGCGGUGAAAUGCGUAGAUAUCAUUUGGAACGCCAAUGGUGAAAACAGGUAGCUGGGGCUGUGCUGACACUGAGACACGAAAGCCAGGGGAGCGAACGGG
rnacentral:rRNA from 1 species